rnacentral:rRNA from 1 species
AUGGCAAUUGUCCAUACAUACGGGAAGCCCGAGAUCUUCUUGACCAUGACUUGCAAUCGUAAAUGGGAAGAGAUAAUGAAUGAGUUGCUGCCUGGUCAGACGACGCAAGACCGACCUGAUAUUGUGGUUCGCGUGUUCUACGGCAAACUAGAGGCUAUGAAAGACAGGUUGUUCAAGAAGCAUAUUCUGGGUGUUGUUGUUGCUUAUGUAUACGUAAUCGAGUUCCAAAAAAGGGGCCUUCCCCAUGCACAUUUUUUGUUGAUCAUGGACUCAGCAUAUAAGCUUAUCAUCGUGGAGCAGUAUGACCGACUCAUUUCUGCAGAGCUCCUAGACAAGCAUAAGUAUCCGGAAUUGUAUGCAAUGGUGGUAAAACAUAUGAUGCACAGACCAUGCGGUGCUCUGAACCAAAAAAAUGUAUGCAUGCAAGAAAACGGAUGCAAGUGCAGAUACCCGCAGCCGUUCAAUGAAAACACAUCACAGGGGAAGGACUCCUACCCAGUUUAUCAGCGGAGAGACGAUGGUAGAUGGGCUAAGGUCCGAGGAAAGAUGUUGGACAACAGAUGGAGCGUGCCUUAUAAUCCAUACCUUUUGUGGAUGUUCAGUUGCCACAUCAACGUUGAGGUCUGCUCUAGCAUAAAGGACGUCAAAUAUCUUUACAAGUACAUUUACAAGGGCCAUGAUAAUUAA